GGCGUUAAUCGCUUCAUCGAACGACUGCCGUCGUCGCCUCGGGGCGUCGCAUCCCUCGGGCUUGCGGCCCUCGUGCGACGACGGCGUCGGUGAGGAAUGC
rnacentral:misc_RNA from 1 species